rnacentral:rRNA from 1 species
GACGUAGGGCGCGAGCGUUGUCCGGAUUUAUUGGGCGUAAAGAGCUCGUAGGCGGCUUGUUGCGUCGACCGUGAAAACCCGGGGCUCAACUUCGGGCUUGCGGUCGAUACGGGCGGGCUAGAGUUCGGUAGGGGAGACUGGAAUUCCUGGUGUAGCGGUGAAAUGCGCAGAUAUCAGGAGGAACACCAAUAGCGAAGGCAGCUCGCUGGGACGUUACUGACACUGAGAUGCGAAAGCGUGGGGAGCAAACAGG